rnacentral:rRNA from 1 species
AUGGCUCAGGAUGAACGCUAGCGGUAGGCUUAACACAUGCAAGUCGAGGGGCAGCGGGAUGUAGCAAUACAUUGCCGGCGACCGGCGGAUGGGUGCGUAACGCGUAUGCAACCUACCUUAUACAGGGGAAUAACCUUUCGAAAGGGAGACUAACACCCCAUAGUAUUGAUUUAAGGCAUCUUAGAUUAAUUAAAUAUUUAUAGGUAUAAGAUGGGCAUGCGUACGAUUAGCUAGUUGGUAAGGUAACGGCUUACCAAGGCGACGAUCAUUAGGGGUUCUGAGAGGAAGGUCCCCCCACACUGGUACUGAGACACGGACCAGACUCCUACGGGAGGCAGCAGUGAGGAAUAUUGGUCAAUGGGCGCAAGCCUGAACCAGCCAUGCCGCGUGCAGGAAAAGACGGCCUUAUGGGUUGUAAACUGCCUUUACAUAAGACUAACCGUAUAUUUGCGAAUAUACCUGAAUGUAUUAUGAGAAUAAGGAUCGGCUAACUCCGUGCCAGCCGCUGC